rnacentral:rRNA from 1 species
CCUACGGGUGGCAGCAGUGGGGAAUAUUGGGCAAUGGAGGCAACUCUGACCCAGCAACGCCGCGUGAGCGAUGAAGGUCUUCGGAUUGUAAAGCUCUUUAAGCGGGGACGAAGAAAGUGACUGUACCCGCAGAAUAAGCAUCGGCUAACUCCGUGCCAGCAGCCGCGGUAAUACGGAGGAUGCGAGCGUUAUCCGGAUUUAUUGGGUUUAAAGGGUGCGCAGGCGGAGGUGCAAGUCAGCGGUCAAAUUGCGGGGCUCAACCCCGUACUGCCGUUGAAACUGCAUCCCUUGAGUGCGCGAGAAGUAUGCGGAAUGCGUGGUGUAGCGGUGAAAUGCAUAGAUAUCACGCAGAACUCCGAUUGCGAAGGCAGCAUACCGGCGCGCAACUGACGCUCAUGCACGAAAGCGUGGGGAGCAAACAGGAUUAGAUACCCCAGUAGUC